GACGAACGCUGGCGGCGUGCUUAACACAUGCAAGUCGAACGGAAAGGCCCUGCUUUUGUGGGGUGCUCGAGUGGCGAACGGGCGAGUAACACGUGAGUAACCUGCCCUUGACUUUGGGAUAACUUCAGGAAACUGGGGCUAAUACCGGAUAGGAGCUCCUGCUGCAUGGUGGGGGUUGGAAAGUUUCGGCGGUUGGGGAUGGACUCGCGGCUUAUCAGCUUGUUGGUGGGGUAGUGGCUUACCAAGGCUUUGACGGGUAGCCGGCCUGAGAGGGUGACCGGCCACAUUAGGACUGGGAUACGGCCCAGACUCCUACGGGAGGCAGCGGUGGGGAAUAUUGCACAAUGGGCGGAAGCCUGAUGCAGCAACGCCGCGUGCGGGAUGACGGCCUUCGGGUUGUAUACCGCUUUCGCCUGUGACGAAGCGUGAGUGACGGUAAUGGGUAAAGAAGCACCGGCUAACUACGUG
rnacentral:rRNA from 1 species